GAUGAACGCUGGCGGCGUGCCUAAUACAUGCAAGUCGAGCGAACAGACGAGGAGCUUGCUCCUCUGACGUUAGCGGCGGACGGGUGAGUAACACGUGGAUAACCUACCUAUAAGACUGGGAUAACUUCGGGAAACCGGAGCUAAUACCGGAUAAUAUAUUGAACCGCAUGGUUCAAUAGUGAAAGACGGUUUUGCUGUCACUUAUAGAUGGAUCCGCGCCGCAUUAGCUAGUUGGUAAGGUAACGGCUUACCAAGGCAACGAUGCGUAGCCGACCUGAGAGGGUGAUCGGCCACACUGGAAGUGAGACACGGUCCCGACUCCUACGGGAGGCAGCAGUAGGGAAUCUUACGCAAUGGGCGAAAGCCUGACGGAGCAAAGCCGCGUGAGUGAUGAAGGUCUUAGGAUCGUAAAACUAUGUUAUUAGGGAAGAACAAAUGUGUAAGUAACUAUGAACGUCUUGACGGUACCUAAUCAGAAAGCCACGGCUAACUACGUG
rnacentral:rRNA from 1 species